ACCUAACCGUAAUACACAAUUAAACCACCAAUUGUUCGCCAAACAACUACGAGUAAUAACUUAAAACUUAAAAGACUUGACGGUGCUUCAUCACAACCUAGAGGGGCCUGUCUAACAACCGAUAACCCACGAUUAACCCAACCCUUUCUCGCCAACAGUCUAUAUACCGCCGUCGCCAGCUUACCUUGUAAAGGAAAUAUAGUGAGCUAAAUAGUACUACACUAAAACGACAGGUCGAGGUGUAACCAAUGAAAAGGAUCAAGAUGGGCCACAUUCUCCUGACCCGAGAAUACGAAUAACACUAUGAAAAUUAGUGCUUGAAGGCGGAUUUAGCAGUAAGAUAAGAAUAAAACACUUAACUGAACAUAUAGCAAUGAAGUGCGUACACACCGCCCGUCAUCCCUGCCAAACACAAUUAAUUUAAAUAAACCUACCCUAAAAUUAAACCAGGGCAAGUCGUAACAUGGUAAGUGUACUGGAAAGUGUACUUAGAAA
rnacentral:rRNA from 1 species